CACAAGAGGGCUUCACUUAGAAUGGGAAUGGACAUUCAUCUCAGAUCCCAGAAGAAUCAGUUCUCACAAGAGAAAGCCCUAUCUCUCCUGCUUCUUACAGAGAUACACCUGACAGUUCUGGAGGUUCCAAGUCCAAGCUGAAGGUAUCAGCAGUACUGGUUUCCUGUUCUCAGCUUGCAGGUGGCAUCCUCUCCCCGAGUUCCUGUCGGCUUGCAGGUGGCAUCCUCCGUUCUCCACAAGACCUUCCUCUGUACAUGUCUGCAUCCAAACUUUCUUCCAAGGACAGCAGUCAAACUGGAUUAGGACCAUCUUAAUGACCUCAUCUUAACUCACUGACCUCUGAAGAUUUUGUCCCUCAUCUCAAGCAGAGGCACUAGGGCAUAAAGGCCCCCUGCACAUGAAGUUGAGGGUUCGGUUGGACCACAGCUCUCUCCAUGCAGAGUGGCUUUUGUCUGCUGAAGUUCCUGGAAGAACUGUUUUAUUUGAAGCAAUGAAAACACAUCCCUCUAAGUUUCCUGCAACUGCACAGCACCAUCUUCCCAGAAAUUGGUUUUCUGAGAAGUGUGUGCCUCCAGCACAUGCCACAGACUGUCUUGAUAUGACUUCGUUUAAUCUUCUAGAAAAGAUCAAAAUGCAGGCCAUGGUGUGGCAUGCCUUUAGUUCCAGCACUCAGGAGGCAAAAGCAGGCAAAGGUCUCUG